UCCAGCCGUAGAAGGAGUCUUCGGCGGCCAGGUGGGCGCGCGGCGUCUGCUGCAACAGCGAGCAGAGCGCGGCCAGGUCCCCGUCGCGGCAGGCGCGGUGCAGCGGGAAGCGGAGCGACAGCAGCUCCUCGCUGGAGAAGCCCGCCUCCACGCCUGCGCCCGCUCCUGCCGUCGACAUGGUCCGUCACCGGAGAGCGUGGGCUAGCUGGCCGAGAGGACGCGCGGCCUCAAGUGAUGUUGGCUCAACCCAGCCUGCAUUCAGCAAGAAUCCUGCUGGAUCAGUUUAGCCAGAACCUGAUGGUUGGUUAGCUGGCCCCCGUGUGUUGUCGUGGUAAUGUUCCACCGUCCAUCGCCCACCCAGGUAAAGAAGCUGCCCGUGCUGUUCUCAGAGCUGUCUGAUCUCUCUUCCUACUGCAAGAAAAAGCAGGAUCCUGGCUCCUGCUGCCUCCCCCUCCCCCCACCGGAAUACAGUCCACCUUACUCUGCUUUAAUAUUGUCUCACUGAACAAAGUUUUGGAAUAAUAAUCUUUUUCUUUAACAUGAGCAAACUUGGGUAUUUGAAGAGAUGAUUCAGAUACACGAAGGAAAACAGGAAAACUCAGAGUCAAAGUAUCAAAAUAAAAACCCUGCACUUA